UCUUGCUCUGUUAUCCAGGCUGGAGUGCAAUGGUGUGAUCUCAGCUCACUGCAACCUCUGCCUCCCGAGUAGCUGGGAUUACAGGUGCCCAUCACCAUGCCGGGCUAAGUUUUGUAUUUUUAGUAGAGAGAAGCUUUCGCCAUGUUGUUCAGUCUGGUCUUGAACUCCUGACCUCGGGUGAUCCGCCCACCUCAGCCUCCUAAAGUGCUGGUAUUAUAAGUGUGAGCCACUGUGCCUGGCCAGAAAUAAACAUUUUAAACCAGAGAAGCAGAUAUUUUAAACCAAAAGGUCUUUACCAGCUGCAUCUGUUGACUUCCUGUAACUUCAGGGCUAUCCCCCUACCCCUACCCAGCUCCCAGCCUAGGGCACUGUAUUAGCACACUGCUGACAAAGAAAUACCUGACAAUGGGCAAUUUACAAAAGAAAGAGGUUUAAUUGGACUUACAGUUCCACGUGACUGGGGAAGGUCUUAUAAUCAUGAUGGAGGGCAAAAGGCACUUCCUACAUGGCAGCAGCAAGAGCGAAUGAGGAAGGGCUGGGCACAGUAGCUCAUGCCCGUAAUCCCAGGUGUGAGCCUGGGAUUUGGGAGGCCAAGGCCAGUGGAUCACCUGAGGUCAGGAGUUCAAGACCAGCCUGACCAACAUAGUGAAGCCUCUACAAAAAGUACAAAAAAAUUAGCCAGGCAUAGUGGUGCAUGCCUGUAAUCCCAUCUACUCGGGAGGCUGAGGCAGGAGAAUUGCUUGAACCUGGGAGGCAGAGGUUGCGGUGAGCCAAGAUCAGACCAUUACACUCCAGCCUGGGUGACAAGCAAAAAUCUGUCUCAAAAAAAAAAAAAAAAAAAAUGAGGAAGAAGCAAAAGCAGAAACCCCUGAUAAACCCAUCAGAUCUAACCAGCCUCCAUGGUUCAAUUACCUCCCCCUGGGUCCCUCCCACAACACGUGGUAAUAAUGGGAAAUACAGUUCAGGGUGAGACUUGGGUGAGGACACAGCCAAACCAUAUCAUUCCAAUCCCCUGGCCCCUCUAAAUCUCAUGUCAUCACAUUUCAAACCAGUCAUGCCUUCCCAACAGUCCCCCAAAGUCUUAUUUCAGCCUUAACCCAAAAGUCCACACUCCAAAGUCCCAUCUGAGACAAGGCAAGUCCCUUCCCCCAUGAGCCUGUAAAAUCAAAAGCAAAUUAGUUACUUCUUAGAUACAAUGGGGGUACAGGCAUUGGGUAAAUAGCCAUUCCAAAUGGGAGAAAUUGUCCAAAACAAAGGGGCUGUGGGCCCCAUGCAAGUCCAAAAUCCAGUGGCGCAGUCAAAUCUUAAAAUGAUCCCCUUUCACUCCAUGUCUCGCAUCCAGGUCACGCUGAUGCAAGAGGUGGGUUCCCAUGGUCUUGGACAGCUCCACCCCUGUGGCUUUGCAGGGUACAGUACAGCCUCCCUCCUGGCUGCUUUCACAGGCUGGUGUUGAGUGCCUGUGGCUUUUCCAGGUGCAUGGUGCAAUGGUAGGUGAAUCUACCAUUCUGGGGUCUGGAGGAUGGUCACCCUCUUCUCACAGCUCCACUAGAUGAUACCCCAGUAGGGACUCCGUGAGGGCUCCAACCCCACAUUUCCCUUCCAUACUACCCUAGCAGAGGUUCUCCCUGAGGGCCCCACACCUGCAGCAAACUUGCCUGGGUAUCUAGAUGUUUCCAUACAUCUUCUGAAAUCUAGGUGGAGGUUCCCAAACCUCAAUUCUUGACUUCUGUGCACCCACAGGCUCAACACCACAUGGAAGGUGCCAAGGCUUGGGGCUUCCACCUCUAAAGCCACAGCCUGACCUGUACAUUGGCCCCUUUCAGCCAUGGCUGGAGCAGCUUGCACAAAAGGACCAAGCCCCUAGGCUGCACAUAGCAUGGGGACCCUGGGCCUUGCCCACAAAACCACUUUUUCCUCCUGGGCCUCCGGGCCUGUGAUGGGAGGGGCUGCUAUAAAAGUCUCAGACAUGGCCUGGUGACAUUUUCCCCAUGGUCUUGAGGAUUAUCAUCAGGCUCCUUGCUACUUAUGCAAAUUUCUGCAGCUGGCUUGAACUUCUCCCCAGAAAAUGGGUUUUUCUUUUCUAUCGUAGUCAGGCUGCAAAUUUUCUGAAGUUUAAUGCUCUGUUCCCCCUUUAAAACUGAACGACUUUAGCAGUACCCAAGUCACCUCUUGAAUGCUUUGCUGCUUAGAAAUUUCUUCAGCUGGCUGGGCGUGGUGGCUCACGCCUGUAAUCCCAGCAUUUUGGGAGGCUGAGGCAGGCAGAUCAUGAGGUCAGGAGAUCGAGACCUUCCUGGCAAACACAGUGAAACCCCGUCUCUACUAAAAAAAUACAAAAAAAUUAGCUGGACAUGGUGGUGGGUGCCUGUAGUCCCAGCUACUCGGGAGGCUGAGGCAGGAGAAUGGCAUGAACCCAGGAGGCAGAGGUUGCAGUGAGCCGAGAUCGCGCCACUGCACUCCAGCCUGGGCAAUAGAGUGAGACUCCGUCUCACAAAAAAAAAAAAGAAAAAGGAAAAAACAAAUUUAUUCAGCCAGGCCGGGUGCAGUGGCUCACGCCUGUAAUCCCAGCACUUUGGGAGGCCAAGGCAAGUGGAUCACUUGAGGUCAGGAGUUCAAGACCAGCCUAGCCCACAUGGUGAAACCCCCGUCUCUACUAAAAAAAAUACAAAAAUUAACCGGGCAUGGUGGUGUGUGCCUGUAAUCCCAGCUACUCAGGAGGCUGAGUCAGGAGAAUUGCUUGAACCUGGGAGGCGGAGGCUGCAGUGAGCUGAGAUCGUGCCACUGCACUCCAGCCUGGGCGACAGAGCAAGACUCUAUCGAAAAAAAAAAAAAAAAGAAGUUUCUUCAGCCAGAUACCCUAAAUCCUCUCUCACAAGUUCAAAGUUCCACAAAUCUCUAACGCAGGGGCAAAAUGCCACCAGUUUCUUUGCUAAAACACAAAAGUCACCUUUGCUCCAGUUCCCAAGGAGUUCCUCAUCUCCAUCUGAACCACCUCGGCCUGGAUUUAUUGUCCAUAUCGCUAUCAGCAUUUUGGGCAAAGCCAUUCAACAAGUCUAGGAAGUUCCAAACUUUCCCACAUUUUCCUGUCUUCUUCUAGCCCUUCAAACUGUUCCAAUCUCUGCUUGUUACCCAGUUCCAAAGUCGCUUCCACAUUUUCGGGUAUCUUUUCAGCAACACCCCACUCUACUGGUACCAAUUUACUGCAUUAGUCCGUUCUCACACUGCUAGUAAAGACAAACCCAAGACUGGGCAAUUUACAAAAGAAAGAGGUUUAAUUUGACUUACACUUCCACGUGGCUGGGGAAGGUCUCACAAUCAUGGCAGAGGGCAAAAGGCACUUCUCAUAUGGCAGCAGGAAGAGAGAAUGAGGAAGAAGCAAAAGUGGAAACCCCUCAUAAACCCAUCAGAUCUCGUGAGACUUAUUCACUAUCACAAGAAUAGCAUGGGAAAGGCUGGCCUCCAUGAUUCAAUUACCUCCCCCUUGGUCCCUCCCACAACAUGUGGGAAUUCUGGGAGAUAUAAUUCAAGUUGAGAUUUGGGUGGGGACACAGCCAAACCAUAUCAGGCACCCUGUGGAAUCCCAGGACUCCAAAAAAGUCUAAAAAUCACUGGUUGUUUUAUCAUGUUUUCCCACUCCAGAUAAAAAAAUCUGUAUUGGGGGAAUGAUUAUUUUAAAAUCCCAAAUAGGCCAGGCACAGUGGCUCACGCCUGUAAUCCCAGCACUUUGGAGGGAGAGGUGGGUGGAUCACCUGAAGUCAGGAGUUCAAGACCAGCCUGGCCAACAUGGUGAAACCCCAUCUCUACUAAAAGUACAAACAAUUAGCCAGGUGUGGUGGUAGGCACCUGUAAUCCCAGCUACUCAGAAGGCUGAGGCCGGAGAAUUGCUUGAACCCGGGAGGCAGAGGUUGCAGUGAGCCAAGGUCAUGCUAUUACACUCCAGCCUGGGCAAUAAGAGCGAAACUCCCUCUCAAAAAAAUAAAAAUAAAAUAAAAAUCCCAAAUAAUAUAGAAACUUAAUGUCAAAAAUUCCAGAGAAUUGGCCAGGCAUGGUAGUUCACGCCUGUAAUCCCUGCACUUUGGGAGGCCGAGGCGGACAGAUCACCUGAGGUUGGGAGUUUGAGACCAGCCUGACCAACAUGAAGAAACCCCGUCUCUACUAAAAAUACAAAAUUAGCAGGGCAUGAUGGCGCAUGCCUGUAAUCCCAGCUACUCAGGAGACUGAGACAGGAGAAUUGCUUGAACCCAGGAGGCGGAGUUUGUGGUGAGCCAAGAUCAUGCCAUUGCACUCCAGCCUGGGCAACAAGAGCGAAACUCCGUCUCAAAAAGAAAAAAAAAGUUUCAAGAGAACUACUGUAUAAUUUACUUUUAACUUUCAGUCUUUUUGACACUAUGUAUAUAUUCAUUAUAUAUACUUAAAUAUUACAUUUGCAGUAUCCUGUAGCAAAACUUUUUCUCUUAAUAUACCAGUUAACAUCUUUCCAUGUAAAUUCAUGUAAAUCUAUUUCAUCCUUUUUAACAGCUGCACAGAAUUUCCUUGAAUGUUAGCAUCAUAAUUUUUUUUUUUUUUGGGACGGCGUUUCGCUCUUGAUGCCCAGGCUGGAGUGCGAUGGCACAAUCUUGGCUCAUUGCAACCUCCCGCUCCCAGGUUCAUGUGAUUCUCCUGCUUCAGCCUCCCGAGUAGCUGGGAUUACAGGCAUGCGCCACCACGCCCGGCUAAUUUUGUAUUUUUAGUAGAGACAGGGUUUCUCCAUGUUAGUCAGGCUGGUCUUGAACUCCUGACCUCAGGUGAUCCACCCGCCUCGGCCUCCCAAAGUGCUGAGAUUACAGGCAUGAACCACCGUGCCUGGCCGUUAGCAUCAUAAUUUUUUUUUUUUUUUUUUUUUUGAGAUGGAGUAUCACUGUCACCCAGGCUGGAGUGCAGUGGCAUGAUCUCGGCUCACUGCAACCUCCGCCUCCCAGGUUCAAGCAACUCUCCUGCCUCGGCCUCCCAAGUAGCUGGGACUACAGGUGUGUGCCACCACGCCCGGCUAAUUUUUUUAUUUUUAGUAGAGACAGGGUUUCACCAUAUUGGUCAGGCUGGUCUCGAACUCCUGACCUCAUGUUCCACCCGCCUCGGCCUCCCAAAGUGCUAGGAUUACAGGUGUGAGCCACCGCACCUGGCUGUUAGCAUCAUAAUUUAAUAAAGUACCAUCAAUGGACACUUAACCAAAUAGUGAAAAUCCUUAUACAUACAAGUUCUCAUACUCAUUUACUUAAUUAGGUUAACUUUGUAGAAGUGGAAUUGCUGAGUUAAAUUAUAUGUUUUAAAGUUAUACGUGCAUUUUUAAAAUGCAAAUAUGUGGCUGGGAGCCGUGGCUCCCGCCUGUAUCCCAGCUCUUUGGGAGGCUGAGGCAGGUGGAUCACUUGAGCCCAGGAGUUUGAGACUGGCCUGGGCAACAUAGGGAGACCCAUCUCUAUUAUUACAAAAAAAUUUGCAAAUAUUCGCUUAUGUGGUAUGCACUGUAAAUAAUUUUCCUUUUUAAAAUUGUGCUUUCUGCAAUGCAAACUUUUUGUUAUGUCAUUUUGUUACUGUGGUUAAAAAACAUGAAAUCUGGCCCUAAGCCAAAUUUCUGAAGCCCUCAUAUAAACUCUACACCCUGACCUCGUCAUUGUGUACAUUCACAGGUUGAACAUACCCAGGGAGAAAGAAAAUCCCUUAUCUCGCCGGUCCCAGGCUGGAGUGCAAGGGCACUAUCACAGUUCACUGGAGCUUCAACCUCCCAUGCUCAUGAAACCCUUCAGGCUCAAAAAAUCAUCUUGCCUCAGCCUCCCAAGAAACUGGGAGUACAUACUUGGCUAACUUUUUUUUUAUUUUAAGAGAUGAGCUCUCGCCACAUUUCCCAGACUGGUCUCCUGAGCUCAACCAAUCCCAUCUUGGCCUCCUAAAGUGCUUGGCUAACAAGUGUGAAUCACUGCACCCAGCCUGCUUGGCCUGCUCUGCCAUCUUGUAUACUUGAUUGAUUGAUUGAUUGAUUGACUGAUUGAGACAGAGUCUCACUCUUGUCACCCAGGCUGGAGUGCAGUGGUGAGAUCUCGGCUCACUUCAACCCCCACCUCCCAGGUCCAGCUGAUUCUCCUGCCUCAGCCUCCCAAGUAGCUAGGAUUACAGACACCAGCCACCACACCCGGCUAAUUUUUGUAUUUUUAGUAGAGACAGGGUUUCAUCAUAUUGGCUAGGCUGGUCUCAAACUCCUGACCUCAGGUGAUCCGCCCACCUCAGACUCCCAAAGUGCCGGGAUUACAGAUGCGAGCCACCACACCACCAUAUACUUUAAAUCAUCUCUAGGCUGGGUGCAGUGGCUCACACCUGUAAUCCCAGCACUUUGGGAGGCUGAAGUGGGCGGAUCACCUGAGGUCGGGAGUUUGAGACUAGCCUGACCAACAUGGAGAAAUCCUGUCUCUACUAAAAAUACAAAAAAAUUAGCCAGGUGUGGUGACGCAUGCUUGUAAUCCCAGCUUCUUGGGAGUCUGAGGCAGGAGAAUCACUUGAACCCAGGAGGCGGAGGUUGUGGUGAGCUGAGAUUGCACCAUUGCACUCCAGCCUGGCCAACAGGAGCGAAACUCUGCCUUAAAAAAAAAAAAAAAAAAAAAAAAACUCUAGAUUACUUAUACCUGCCACAUGAUCAAUACAGAGAGGAAAAAAAUUACUUAUACCAAGCACACUGUAAAUGCUACGUAAAUCAUUGUCAUACUGUAGUUUUAAAAUGUGUUUUAUAUUGUCUUUGGUUUUCUUUUUGUUUUUUGGACAUGGAGUCUUACUCUGUCACCCAGGCUGGAGUGCAGUGGCAUGAUCUCGGCUCACUGCAACCUCCACCUCCACGGUUCAAGUAAUUCUCCUGCCUCAGCCUCCUGGGUAGCUGGGACUACAGGCAUGUGCCACAACACCCAACUAAUUUUUGUAUUUUUAGUAGAGACAGGGUUUUGCCAUGUUGGCCAGGCUCGUCUUGAACUCCUGAUCUCGGGUCAUCCGCCCACUCUGGCCUUCCAAAGUGUUGGGAUUACAGGUGUGAGCCAGGCCUUGUCUUUGUUUUUUUUUUUUCAAAUAUUUCAAACCAAGGAUGGUUGAAUUCUUGGUUGAACCGUCAAGAUAGAAAGGGCCGAGUGUAUAUGGCUUACAAAUAUUUUCUUCCAUCCCUAAGUUGCCUUUUCACUGUCCUUUCUGUGCAUCUUAUUAGUUUGAUGUAGUCCCACUUGUCUAUCUCUGCAUUUGUUGCCUGCUUUUGGUGUCUUACCCAAGAGAUCAUUGCCAAGACCAAUGUUACGAAGCUUUUCCCCUAUGUUUUCUGCUAGAAUUGUAUAGUUUCAGAUUUUACUUUUAAAUCUUCAAUCCAUUUUAAGUUGAUUUCUUUUUUUUUUUGGAGACAGAGUCUCACUGUGUCGCCCAGGCUGGAGCGCAGUGGCUCCAUCUUGGCUCACUGCAACCUCCGACUCCCGGG
rnacentral:lncRNA from 1 species